UCGGACGCAGUGCAGUUGUUCGCCGAUUAUUCGAAGAGCAUACGAAACUAUUUAUACGAUGUCGAUGGCAAUAUUCUGCUUGAUGUUUACACUCAAACCUCUUCAGUUCCAUUAGGUUACAACCACCCUGAAUUAUUAGAUGUCAAGAUAAAGAAAACAUCAGAACAUUCAUAAACCGACCUGCCCUCGGUGUAUUUCCUGGUGAAAAUUAUCCUCAGCGAGUCCAGAAUUCUCUGUUACGUAUUGCUCCCAAAGGCCAUACAGAGGUAACGACGAUGGCGUGUGGAUCGUGCUCAAACGAAAAUGCGUACAAGGCAAUUUUCGUUUGGUAUCACCGGAAACAGAGGGGAGAUAAGUCAUAUACCCCAGAGGAGAAGACGAGUUGCGUAAUGAACCAAUUGCCUGGUGUUUCUGACCUGACUCUUAUGUCUUUCAAAGGCGCUUUCCACGACAGAACGUUUGGUACGUUAAUCACGACUCAUACCAAGCCAGUCCAUAAACUGGACAUUCCUACAAAGGACUGGCCAAUUGGAAUCUUCCCUCGCCA